rnacentral:lncRNA from 1 species
AGGCAGGGAACACUGACACUGGAGCGCACGUGCACGAGGGGACUCCAUGUUUUUCUUUCUCUCUUUGAACGAAUACAAUGUCGCCCGGUUGGAAUAUUAUCGCUAUUUUACGAGAAAAAUUGCAUAAAAAUUGAUUUUAAACAGCGUUUGACAUGCUUCGAAGUACGGUAAUGGAAUAUUUUGACAUUUUUCGUCACAAAAACGGAGCUAUUUCAAUAUAACUAUGGAUUAUUUCGAACCAAAACAACAUUUGUUGUUGAAGUAGAAGUCCUGGGAUUGCAUUCUGACGAAGAACAGCAAAGGUAAUCCAAUUUUUCUUAUAGUAAAUCUGAGUUUGGUGAGGGCCAAACUUGGUGGGUGUCAAAUUAGCUAGCCGUGAUGGCCGGGCUAUCUACUCAGAAUAUUGCAAAAUGUGCUUUCGCCAAAAAGCUAUUUUAAAAUCUGACACUGCGAUUGCAUAAAGGAGGUCUGUAUCUAUAAUUCUUAAAAUAAUUGUUAUGUAUUUUGUGAACGUUAAUCGUGAGUAAUUUAGUAAAUUCACCGGAAGUUUGCGGUGGGUAUGCUAGUUCUGAACAUCACAUGCUAAUGUAAAAAGCUGGUUUUUGAUAUAAAUAUGAACUUGAUUGAACAAAACAUGCAUGUAUUGUAUAACAUAAUGUCCUAGGAGUGUCAUCUGAUGAAGAUCAUCAAAGGUUAGUGCUGCAUUUAGCUGUGGUUUUGGUUUUUGUGACAUACAUUCAUGCUUUGAAAAUGGCUGUGUGAUUAUUUUUGGCAGGGUACUCUCCUGACAUAAUCUAAUGUUUUGCUUUCGCUGUAAAGCCUUUUUGAAAUCGGACAGUGUGGUUAGAUGAAUGAGAGUCUUGUCUUUAAAAUGGUGUAAAAUAGUCAUGUGUUUAAGAAAUUGAAGUUACAGCAUUUAUGAGGUAACGCAAACGUCCCAUUUUGCCCAGGGAGGUUAAAGCUAUUGAGGGAGAUAAGUGUUUCCAGUUUCAGGUAUUUUUGUAGUUCCUUCCAGUCAUUGGCAGCAGAGAGCUGGAAGGAGAGGCUGCCAAAGGAGGAAUUGGCUUUAGGGGUGACCAGAGAGAUAUAUACCUGCUGGAGCGCGUGCUACAGGUGGGUGCUGCUAUGGUGAACAGCGAGCUGAGAUAAGGGGUCACUUUACCUAGGGUGGUCUUGUAGAUGACCUGGAGCCAGUGGGUUUGGCGACGAGUAUGAAGCGAGGUCCAGCCAACGAGAGCGUACAGGUCGCAGUGGUGGGUAGAAUAUGGGGCUUUGGUGACAAAACGGAUGGUACUGUGAUAGACUGCAUCCAAUUUAUUAUAACACAUAACACCACCAAUACAACAGAGACAAUAUAACACCACUAAUACAAAAGAGACAAUAUAACAUAUUACACCACUAAUAUAACAGAGACAAUAUAACACCACUAAUACAACAGAGACAAUAUAACAUAUAACACCACUAAUACAACAGAAAUAAUAUAACACCACUAAAACAACAGAGACAAUAUAACAUAUAACACCACUAAUACAACAGAGACAAUAUAACACCACUAAUACAACAGAGACAAUAUAACAUAUAACACCACUAAUACAACAGAAAUAAUAUAACACCACUAAAACAACAGAGACAAUAUAACAUAUAACACCACUAAUACAACAGAGAUAAUAUAGCACCACUAAUACAACAGAGACAAUAUAACACCACUAACACAACAGAGACAAUAUAACACCACUAAUACAACAGAGACAAUAUAACAUAUAACACCACUAAUACAACAGAGAUAAUAUAACACCACUAAUACAACAGAGAUAAUAUAACACCACUAAUACAACAGAGACAAUAUAACACCACUAACACAACAGAGACAAUAUUACACCACUAAUACAACAGAGACAAUAUAACACCACUAAUACAACAGAGACAAUAUAACAUAUAACACCACUAAUACAACAGAGACAAUAUAACAAAUAACACCACUAAUAAAACAGAGAUAAUAUAACACCACUAAUACAACAGAGACAAUAUAACACCACUAACACAACAGAGACAAUAUAACACCACUAAUACAACAGAGACAAUAUAACAUAUAACACCACUAAUACAACAGAGACAAUAAAACAUAUAACACCACUAAUACAACAAAGAUAAUAUAACACCACUAAUACAACAUUGAUAAUAUAACACCACCAAUAUAACAGAGACAUUAUAACACCACUAAUACAACAUAGAUAAUAUAACACCACUAAUAUAACAGAGACAAUAUAACACCACUAAUACAACAGAGAUAAUAUAACACCACUAAUAUAACAGAGACAUUAUAACACCAGUAAUACAAAAGAGACAAUAUAACACCACUAAUACAACAGAGAUAAUAUAACACCACUAAUAUAACAGAGACAUUAUAACACCACUAAUACAACAGAGACAAUAUAACACCACUAAUACAAAAGAGACAAUAUAACACCACUAAUACAACAGAGACAAUAUAACACCACUAAUACAACAGAGACAAUAUAACAUAUAACACCACUAAUACAACAGAGAUAAUAUAACACCACUAAUACAACAGAGAUAAUAUAACAUAUAACACCACUAAUACAACAGAGACAAUAUAACACCACUAAUACAACAGAGACAAUAUAACAUAAAACACCACUAAUACAACAGAGACAAUAUAACACCACUAAUACAACAGAGAUAAUAUAACACCACUAACUCAACAGAGACAAUAUAACACCACUAACACAACAGAGAUAAUAUAACACCACUAAUACAACAGAGAUAAUAUAACACCACUAAUACAACAGAGACAUUAUAACACCACUAACACAACAGAGACAAUAUAACACCACUAAUACAACAGAGACAAUAUAACACCACUAAUACAACAGAGACAAUAUAACACCACUAAUACAACAGAGACAAUAUAACACCACUAAUACAACAGAGACAAUAUAACAUAUAACACCACUAAUACAACAGAGACAAUAUAACAUAUAACACCACUAAUACAACAGAGACAAUAUAACACCACUAAUAUAACAGAGACAAUAUAACAUAUAACACCACUAAUACAACAGAGACAAUAUAACACCACUAAUACAACAGAGACAAUAUAACAUAUAACACCACUAAUACAACAGAGAAAAUAUAACACCACUAAUACAACAGAGACAAUAUAACACCACUAAUACAACAGAGAUAAUAUAACAUAUAACACCACUAAUACAACAGAGACAAUAUAACACCACUAAUACAACAGAGAUAAUAUAACAUAUAACACCACUAAUACAACAGAGACAAUAUAACACCACUAAUACAACAGAGACAAUAUAACAUAUAACACCACUAAUACAACAGAGACAAUAUAACAUAUAACACCACUAAUACAACAGAGACAAUAUAACAUAUAACACCACUAAUACAACAGAGAUAAUAUAACACCACUAAUACAACAGAGACAAUAUAACACCACUAAUACAACAGAGACAAUAUAACACCACUAAUACAACAGAGACAAUAUAACACCACUAAUACAACAGAGACAAUAUAACAUAUAACACCACUAAUACAACAGAGACAAUAUAACACCAAUAAUACAACAGAGACAAUAUAACACCACUAAUACAACAGAG